rnacentral:antisense_RNA from 1 species
CUUCACCGACCCCACCCACAACGGCUCACCAACCCCGCGACCCUGCCCAUACGUCGCCAACAACGCCUGCGCCUC